CGCAUGAUUUGAUAUUGUCCAGACAUAUUUGUAUAAAGAGGCUGUAGUUAGAUUUAUACUGAAAAAUGGACCCAUAGAAGUUUACCAUGACAAACAAUCUCUCCUAGAACUACCCUGUUCUAUAAAGUGUUAAAAUAUAAUCUUUGUUGUUUAAUGUAACAGUAAUGACACUUUACAACUUGUGUUGGUAAUUUGCAUUUCUCAUGUUUUUGUUUUACAUGUAUUCAUUUGUUAUGGACCCAAAUGCCUCCAGAUCAGCUCUCCCCCAUUCUCCAGGCAGGGAGAGUGGGGCUUGACCGCCAUUACAGAGAGUAAACAACUUGUCAUCUAACCUGUGACACAGAUCCUGCUGGUCGGCUGGAAGGAGAAAAGGAAAGGAGACCCCCAGGUCUGGGAGGUGGAAGGAGAGGUCAAACAGUAGCCCUCUUGUCCUGCAGCCUGUGAGGCCCACUGUGCAACAGGUCCAACAUCAGUCUUGAGUAUAUAUUGCCAUGGAGCUGUCGCUUAAUGAUAGAAGAAGGUUGCAGGGCUAAAGUGUGCUGCAACGCCAGUGAGAGCGAUGGGCCUCUCAUUGAUUCAGCCAUGCCAUACCCCCCAGUCAGGAGACACUCUGAUCUGAACACCUUGGACUAUCUGCUGCUCUGCUCCACUAUGGAGAUUUACCACAACACAGUGCCUUCAAGAGCUGAGGGGAGUUGGAUGGAGGGGUUUACUGGGUUUACUGCGUGUGUGCGUGUACUGUAAGUGUGUGGUUGUGUGUAGAGGGAAUGAAUGCAUGAGGAGGCUACGUAUGCAAUAGUGUUUUAAUGUGCCUCUAAUCUAUUAUCAUCUACUGUUGCUGUUGUGUCAAAUCUUGAAUGAAGAAGAACAGUCGAAGAUAACAGAGUGAUGUGGUGUUGCAUCGACAUCUAUGGAGUUUGCACUGCAAGGUUACCAUGUACAUUCCUGUGAAUAUUGACUUUGUACCAUCACCUUCUUUGUGAUUUACUGUACCAAUGCAUUUACCAUAUCCAUUAAUUUAAUGUCCUUACUGUAUGUGUCCUCAUGUACUAUGAAAUGUGUUAUGAAUUACUUUCCGACUAAUUUGUGUAUGAAGUAUGUUGCAUAUCCACGUGUCAAUGUGAAUGAUAACUGUUCAAGUUCAGGCUAAGUAGUUUUGAGUUGUUUCCCAUAGUGACAUUAAGUGCUGAGUGGGAAUGUACUGUAUCAUUCAUCUGUCCCUACUGUAAGUAGCCAGAUACACAGGUAGACUGUGUAACAAAACAUUCCUUAUUAGGUCAAAAGUUGACCCCAAAGCAAAGGCAACAAUCCCCCAAUGACAGAUACGCCUAAUUGGGGCACUAUUGUGAGACCAGUCACUGAUCGAGACAGGAAUAUAUGGGGGUUCCACAGACAGCAUUCAUCUUCCCUUUCCCAUUGCACCCUUCAUUUUGAGGGCAUACUGUAGGCUUCUAGUUUAUCAACACCAUUGAAUGCUGUGUUUACUGUGUGAUACCCAUGAAUUAUUCAGCAUCACUAUGCCAUUUAAAACAGUACAGCAGGUUGAACAUCUUGUGCUCCCUGAUUACCAGGGUUUGGGUCAAUUCCCUUUCACUUCCAGUCAAUUCAGAAAGUCAACCAAAUUCCAAUUCCAAAUGUUCCUAAUUGAAAAGUGUUGAAUAGAAUUGGAAUUUCAGUGUACUACUUCCUGAAUUGACUGGAAUUUAAAUGGAACUGACCCCAACCACUCUUUUUACCACAAGCCAGGUCAGAACAGUGAGUAACUCAACUACUCAGCCAUUUAAGAAAAACACAAACAUGCAGAGCAUACAACUCCAUGUAAACUGUAAGCUUCAUUGGGAAUUGAGAAGGUCACCUUAUCAUGGAUCAAAUGUGACCAGAUACUGUGUGGUAUUCGCAUUUUCUAGUAGUUAGUGAUGUUUUCUUGUGUAUGUGAAUCAGCUGUCAUAAGGCCUUGCCUUUGUCCCCUGAUAGGGGCUCUGAAUAGGGACAAAAAGCACAUUGGAGACAUGGCUUAUCAAUGCAAGACUGAAAAUGGAAUUGUGCACGGAAUUUAAAUUGAGCUGUUUUUUUUUAACAAAUAAAAGUUUGAAAAU